UAUAAUAUUUUAAAGAAACAAGAAGCCUUAAAAGUUCCUACUCUGAAAUACUUUGAAGAUGAUCAAACUGAGGCUUACAUGGGUUGUUUUGCAGAACAGGGAUUAGAAGUUAGUUCUUAUUUAUCUGUGGAGCACUUUUUCCACUCCAGUUUUUUUUAAUGUACUAAUAAAUAAUGUGUUCUAGAACCUGCUUUAUGAUUAACUCCUACAACUUUAUGAUUAACUGCUCUUUCCUCUGAUUUCUAAGACCUUUGCUUAUGGAAAAUGCAGUCUCAAAAGGACAGUCUGAUACUUCCCAGAGGUUGGCCUGAGACAUCUGGUACUUAGGAGAGACUGGUUAAUAACAGGCAGAGUUACAGAGAGAGGUAGAGACAGAGAGAGAGGUCUUCCAUCUGCUGGUUCACUCCCCAGAUGGCCGCAACAGCUGGAGCUGCACCACUCUGAAGCCAGGAGCCAGGAGCUUCUUCCGGGUCUCCCAUGUGGGUGCUGGGACCCAAGGACUCGGGCCGUCUUCCACUGCUAUCUCAGGGCAUAGCCGAGAGCUGGAUCAGAAGAGGAGAAGAAGCCAGGACUCAAACUGGCACCCAUAUGGGAUACCGGCGCUUCAGGCCAGGGCGUUAACCUACUGUGCCACAGCACCGGCCCCUAAAGUCUUUUUCUAGUACGUCUGAUGCCUAUGUUUCUUCAGGUAUUGUUUCUGCAAAUUUAUUUUAAAAAUUAUUUUUAUUUGAGGGGCAGAGACAUAGGAUUACACACAUACACACACAGAGAGACAUAUAUACACAGAGAGAGUGAGUGAGAGAGAGCUCCCAUCCUCUAGUUCACUCUCCAGAUGCCUGCAGUGACAGUUGCCUAGAGCCAAGCCAGGAGCUGGGAACUCAAUCUAGGUCUCCCACGUUGGUGAUGGCAACCCAAUUACUUGAGCCAUUAUUGCUAUCUCCCAGAGUUCACAUUAGCUGGUAGUUGGAACCAGGAGUUGGAGCUGGAGCUGGAACUUGAAAUUGGACACUGAUAUUGGACAUAGGCAUCUUAAUGGGUAGGCCAAAUAGCUUCUCCUAUCAUUAUCAUUGAAUGGUAAUCCUUGUUCCUUUGUAUACAUUGUGGAGUUUUUUGUUGUUCACAGUGGGCCAAGUAGACAUUUGAUGAAACAACCACCUCUUCUGUUUACUGCAGGCUGGCUCUUUGCUGGAGAAGUCCUUCCCUAAUUAUCUUGGCUUUGUUUCUCAAUUUUGGGAUCAACCCAAAGAGAAGCUAAAGAUCUUCUCAAAGCAUACAUCUUACUUGGGCUCAUAUUUGACAUUUUUGAAUUCCUGUAAACAUAGCUGCUUCUAACUAAUUAUCUUCUUGGUGUCUUGAACAUCUUUUGAAUUUUUUUAACUUUUAUUUAAUGAAUAUAAAUUUCCAAAGUACAGCUUAUGGAUUACAAUGGCUUACCCCUAUAAUGUCCCUCCCUCCGCAACCCUCCCCUUUCCCGCUCCCUCUCCCCUUCAUUCACAUCAAGAUUCGUUUUCAAUUCUCUUUAUAUACAGAAGAUCAGUUUAGCAUACAUUAAGUAAAGAUUUCAACAGUUUGCUCCCACACAGAAACAUAAAGUGAAAAAUACUGUUUGAGUACUAGUUAUAGCAUUAAAUCUCAAUGUACAGCACACUAAGGACAGAGAUCCUACAUGAGGAGUAAGUGCACAGUGACUCCUGUUGUUGACUUAACAAAUUGAUACUCUUGUUUAUGGCAUCAGUAAUCACCCUAGGCUCUUGUCAUGAGUUGCCAAGGCUAUGGAAGCCCCCUGAGUUCACCGACUCUGAUCAUAUUUAGACAAGGCCAUGGUCAAAGUGGAAGUUGUCUCCUCCCUUCAGAGAAAGGUACCUCCUUCUUUGAUGACCUAUUCUUUCCACUGGGAUCUCACUCGCAGAGAUCUUUCAUUUAGGUUGUGUGUUUUUUUUUUUUUUUUUUUUUUUUUUUUCCCCAGAGUGUCUUGGCUUUCCAUGCCUGAAAUACUCUCAUGGGCUUUUCAGCCGGAUCUGCAUGCCUUAAGGGCUGAUUCUGAGGCCAGAGUGCUGUUUAGGACAUCUGCCAUUCUAUGGGUCUGCUGUGUAUCUCACUUCCCAUGUUGGAUCGUUCUCUCCCUUUUUUAUUCUAUCAGCUAGUAUUU